rnacentral:rRNA from 1 species
CAGUAGCCGCGGGAAAACGAAGGGGGCUAGCGUUGUUCGGAAUCACUGGGCGUAAAGGGUGCGUAGGCGGAUUCUUAAGUCAGGGGUGAAAUCCCGAGGCUCAACCUCGGAACUGCCUUUGAUACUGGGGAUCUUGGGUCCGGAAGAGGUGAGUGGAACUGCGAGUGUAGAGGUGAAAUUCGUAGAUAUUCGCAAGAACACCAGUGGCGAAGGCGGCUCACUGGUCCGGAACUGACGCUGAGGCACGACAGCGUGGGGAGCAAACAGGAUUAGAUACCCCAGUAGUCCCUGUCUCUUAUAC